GUGGGUGUAGCUUAAGCGGCAGAGCGCAUGCUUAGCAUGCAUGAGGUCCUGGGUUCAAUCCCCAGUGCCUCCA
rnacentral:tRNA from 1 species